rnacentral:rRNA from 1 species
UACGUAGGUGGCAAGCGUUAUCCGGAAUUAUUGGGCGUAAAGAGCGCGCAGGUGGCUGAUUAAGUCUGAUGUGAAAGCCCACGGCUUAACCGUGGAGGGUCAUUGGAAACUGGUCAACUUGAGUGCAGAAGAGGGAAGUGGGAAUUCCAUGUGUAGCGGUGAAAUGCGUAGAGAUAUGGAGGAACACCAGUGGCGAAGGCGGCUUCCUGGUCUGUAAACUGACACUGAGGCGCGAAAGCGUGGGGGAGCAAACAGG